rnacentral:lncRNA from 1 species
ACACCCCGAAAACCAAAGGCGGAAACAUUUCCGGGGUUGACUCCACAUUGAGUAUCAAAUCCAAUACACAUAGUAAAGCAGUAAUCACAAAACAUUACAUUACAUAAUAUUGUUUACAUCUGUUUGAAAGUAAAGUUGUACAAGUGUUUUACAUAUGUAAUAUGAACAAAAGUAAAGACGAGUCUUCGGAACGCUCCGUCUUCUUCAAAAGGUUGCGAUGUACCUGUCUAACGCUGACCUGAGAAUACAAGCAGUUUGAAAAUUAGCAUAAAGCUGGUGAGUUCAUAAGCGGUUUAGUUUUGAAAGAACGAGUUUCCUUUGCUUUCUGAAAAAGUUUUUGUUCAAGAAAAUCUCAUAUUUUCUUAUAAAAACAGUUUGGUUAUCCUUUGUUACAAUUUCGAAAACAGUUGGUUAUGUCACUCCAGGAAAAUCCCAUAUUUUCCUUAUAGUUUAGUUAUUCGUUUGUUACUUUAUUCGUUUAUGAGUUGAUGUGCUACCCAGGAAAAUCCCAUAUUUUCCUAUGUGUUGAGUUUCCUAUUUGUAUCUAAGUUCGUUACUGGUUGUUAUGUUAUCCUAGGAAAAUCCCAUAUUUUCCUAUGUGUUGAGUUGCCUAUUUGGUUCUUAGGUCUGAUUUCGAAGUACUAGUAAUUACCAUGUGAGUAGUAUUAGUUACGUGUUCUAAACUCUUAGUUAUUCUACAUUCGAAUGUCUAUCAUCUACUAACUUAGUUGUAUUUUCGAAUAUUUGGAUUCACUAGAAACGUACAUUACAGUAUUUUCGAUUAUUCCGAUGAUUUCCAAAAGAGUACAUUAGUUGUAUUUUCGUAGCUCUGGCGACAUUCUAAGGCGGAUGUAUUCGAAACUCAGUAGAGGUCCAGAUGCGUACUUUCGUAUUAGAUUCGAAACUCUAGUGACAUUCAAGGCGUACACUAACUGUAUAUUCGAAGUCUUGGUGUCAUCUAAAGGCGUUAUUUCGCAUUCGUAGUCCUAUUUCUAUUCGUAUUCGUAUUCGUUCUAUGCUAUUAGUUAUAUUCGUAUUCACAUUCAUAUUCAUACUAUGCUAUUGGUUAGAUACGUAUUCGUAUUUGUUCUAUCCUAUUAGUUAUAUUCGUAUUCGCAUUCGUAUUCGUACUAACCUAAUAGUUAUAUUCGUAUUCGUUCUAUCCUAUUAGUUAUAUUUGUAUUCGCAUUCGUUUAGUAUUAAUCUUAGUUAUGAUUAGUAUGAUUUCUUUUAGAAAAAGUAAUAUAGAUCAAAACACUUUUUAAAGAAAUCUGGCUUUAGUCUAACUGUUUAACCUGCAAUUUGAACCAUUAGUUAUCACAGUUUUCAUUAUUAGAAUCAUACAUGAAAUAAAACAUUUGAACUGAAAAUAUGUUUAAGUACAAGAUUCCUUGUACUUUUUCUUGUAUUCCCCCCUGAAAACGUUGAAAACCAUUUGAAAAACACAUGAAAAAGGGUAGGGGUAUGAACUCACCGGUUGAGAAACGCGUAAGAUUGGAUCCUAAACGUCAGUUCUGGGUUCGCGAACACACAAGAUUCCUAUGGAUUAUGAAAUGAUACAUAUUUGUAUUUAAUUAGGACUUGAUUAAUUUAUUUGCUAAGGACAUACACUUCUAGUUGCGGAAACACCCCAUUUUGAGUGUUUAGAAGGACCCGGGAUGGCGUCUACGGAUGUGAAAUGGUACUAGGGACUUGGGAUUUAAGUUUACUCCCCAAGGGUAAACAUUUUAGGGAGUUUACAACCAUAAAACACAUACAUACAUGAGUUCACGGCCGUGAACUCAUGUUGGUGUGAUUUUGAGUGUCUAAUGGCUUGAUUGGACUUGGGAAAUGUUGGAAUGGGCUUCUAAAAUGCCUUGGAUUAAUUUAAGGGGACUUAUACCAUGUUUAAGGGAGUUCACGGCUGUAAACUUGGAGUUUACGGCCGUAAACUCUCCCAUGGUCUUGAAUAAUUGAUUUAAGGCACUUAGGACAAUCACAUGUGAUUCUAGUAAUUUUUCCAAGCCUUGGGGUGAUUUUAGGGCAUCAUUUAACGCAUAUUUGGGAGUUUACGGUCUAAGGGUAUGAGCUAUGGCCGUAAACUCUUAUAUGUUGCAUUUUGAUAUGUUUAAGACCCCCAAACUAUUUUUAGAUGGUCCUAGGAUUUACCACAAGGCUAUUGGUUGAGUUUCAAGGCAUUUGGACAAGUUAAAAGGAGUUUACUCUCUAUUUUUGAGGGGUUUACGGCCCAAGCAUGAGCCUUGGCCGUAAACUCCCUUUUACUCCUCAAAAUUAAUGUUCAUGAGGUUCUAAGGCAAAUACCAUUAUUCUAAAAUUCAUAUCUAAGUCUUGUUUGAGUCUAGGAAGGGUUUAAGGGCUCAAAACCCUUUUAAUUUAGUGUUUACGGCCUAGGCACCUUCCUGGGCCGUAAACUCACAUAUAAGGUCCCAUUCCAUGAUUUAAUCUCAAAUUUGAAUGCCAAAUAUGAUAUACAAAGAGUUAAGGAAGGUACCUUGAAGAUUAGAAGCCUUAAACUUGUGAUUUGGACCCUUAAACUUGGAUUUAGGAGAGAGAGGUUAGAGAGAGAGUACAGAGAGGAAGCAAAAGCUUCAAAUGGAUGCUUAAAUGUGUUUAUAUAGGUCAAAAACUUGGACACGGUGGAAUUCUACCCGAUACUGACACUAAACGGGGCUUUUGGUCGCACCCGAUUAAGUUUCAGUAACUCGGCGGGGACGUUUCUAAAAUUUUUGGAAUAAGAAUUUUGGGCUAAUUUUGUGAGUUCCUAACAGAUUUGGACACUCAUUAGCAUCAAUUAAACAUAUAAGCUUAAUUAAUUUAACCCAAAAACGACAUCGGAACGAAUUAAUAUACGACGAGUUAUACAGGUAGAAUGGGUUUUCGGCGAUGAACAACUUCGGGUUGUUGCAUUAUCCCCCCGUUAGAGGGAAUUUCGUCCCGAAAUUCAAUGAUUAUGAUACAAGACAUGAAUUUGAAUGAGAUACGAAUGGAUUUGCUGCUUCGAGUUUUCAUGCUCCUACGUGACAUCGGGUCUCCGCUUGACGUCUCAGCGAACCCUCAUUAUCGGGACGCGUCUUGAUUUCGUUAAGUAGAUACUUCUCAAAGACCGAGACGUGAAGUAUCAAAUGGGUGCUACUAUGUUCCGAGGGCAAUCGAAGUUUGAAGGUUACGAAAUCGAUUUCACAAGGGUCGCGAAGGGUCUAAUGUACCAUGAGGGAAGUAUUUCGCUUUUCUAAAGCAUUCCAUGUUUUCCCUAGGAUAAGGCUUCCAAUAGAAAACAAACUCCAACAAGAAGGUACAUCUUCAUGUGGUAGAGUAACUAAGGGUUUGAUGAUCCUGAAAGAGAAUUCUGGGACCUGUGGGUUUAUAGGCCCACGGGUAUGGCUGCUUUGUUUACUACAAGAUCAAGGAAAAUGAUUUGACUGAAGGGUACCACUACGAACUCGUGGUGAUCACAUCAGGUCCUGGUCGUUGUAUUGGAUACAUCAUCUUCCGGAGGUUCGGCUACGAGGUAGCUCCAGGAACUAGAUUAGUACGAGACUUGACUAAACAUUCGGAAAAGAAUUCUCGAGGAUUCUUGGAAAGGCAUCAGGGAAAAAGUUACAGACUUCCCGUUUUCCCGAAUAACAUACGGACGGGGAAUGGAUGGAAAAACUUUCUAAGCUUUGAUGCACGAAGAAUAUGAGAGUUGGGUCAAAGGAAAGAUACGAACAGACGACCCUUUCGAAGACAAGACUAACCGCAUGAAUGAGACUAAGUCAUUCCAUGCCGAGUUUGCAUCAAAGUUUUCCAUGGAAAGUUUAUCAUUAGAUCGAAUGGAAAGGAAUAAUUAUCCGGAUUGAGGAUACGAUCUAUAGGUAUGAUGUUAACAUUCUCUUUCUCACUGGUUGGUCAUCUCGACGGUACACGUUUCAAUUACUAACGAAGGAUUUAGUUUAGAAAGAUAUUUGAAUGAAUGGUUAGCAAAUUCUUACAGCAUUAGAAUCGAAAAGGGUUAUGGGCACAAGAUUUAUCGAAAAGAAGUAUACUUGUGGCAACGGUGGGAUCGGCGGCUGUCCUUUCUUGCCCCAUAGUUAGGACUCUCCCGGUGUUGCCAGACGUUACUGUCUUUGGACAGUUUCGCUUAUAGUGCCCGACCUCUCCACAGCUGUAGCAGGUUUGACCGAUACCAGCUCCGGAAGCUUGACUAGUUGAUGGGGUUGGGGUUUUGCAGGUUCAUGCGAGGUGACCUUCCUGGCCACAACUUCUACAGAACUUUGCACGACAAGGGCCAGGGAUGCGAUGGUGAUAGUUACAUCGGUCACACCACGGGAAGGUACCGACAUAUCUGGUAACAGGUACUUGAGAUGUGGAAUUGACAACAGAAAUAGCAGCAGGGGUAGUGGCAGCGUGGACUGCCACUAUUUGCUGUUUCUUCGAGGGUUCUGGGGAAGACUGACUCUUCUUCUUCUUUUUCCAAAAUUUUCUUUUCUCACCACUCUUUUCUGUUGGCUCGGGAGUGGUGUAUGCUUCUUCUUGGUUACCAUUGUGAUCGAUCAAAGUUUGUGCCAGACACUUGGCGCUGUCAUAGGUAUCUGGCUUUGCUGCUAUAACAUUCCCUUUUGUUGGCUGGGUUAAUCCCCAGAUGAACCUUUCUACCUUUUUGCUCUCCGGGGUAACCAUUCCCGGACAAAGAAGUGCCAAGUCGUCAAACCUUGAAGUGUAAGCGGCGAUAUCGGAACCUUUCAUCUUCAGGUUCCAUAGCUCAUGUUCCAGCUUCUGGAUUUCACCCCGAGGGCAAUACUCCACACAUAGUAGUUCCUUCAUAACUUCCCAUCCCAUAGCAUUGGAUACAGGUAAAGUCAGGGAUUUGACUCGGCCGUUCCACCAAGUCAAAGCCUUAUCGGUGAGCGUAUAGGCGGCAAAUUUCACCUUAUCAGAUUCUGAACAGGCGCAAAUCUCGAAGAUAGAUUCGAUUUUCUCUAACCACCGAGUUAGAGCAAUGACACCCCCUGUGCCAUCGAAGAAUGUUGGUUUUGCGUUCAUGAAGUCUUUAUAGGAACACUCCUUUCGGUGUCCCUGAUUACCUUCUUGGUUUUGUUUUUGGGAACCACAUCCUGAACCAUUGGGGUUUAGUUGAGGUAGGAGAGCUGAUAUGGUGGCAGAAAUGGUUGCCUGAAGUGUUUCUAGAUGGAUUUGAAGAGGAGGUGGUGGCGGCGGAGGGUUGUUGGUGCUCUUUGAGUUAGGUCUUUUCUUCGGAGGCAUCUUGAUCUAAAAAGAUCAGGAAAGAUAGGAUCAUAAGUCCUCUGAAUUGAAUCAAGAGAUAUGGAUCAGGGGAUAUCUCAUCAAGACAGAUAUAACAUUAUAUUAAGCGAUAAAGCAGGAAAGAGUUAUCAAAGCAAAUGAUUUAUCGCUAAGGGAAUGAUCAAGGAACAACGCGUAUACGAGGAUUUCUACAAAGGAUCGGCUCGAGAAAUACUCCCAUAGUAUUUCAUGGUUCGCUGCAACGACGACUCAUUGUUUGGGAUAUUAGGUAAGUUUUAGGUAUGCUGCAUACCACAGUCACUCCCAAGCACAUGUUGGCCGUGUCUCGAAUGAAUAUAGUUGGCCAAGCUAUAUUGAUCCUAGACACGACUACAUAACUGCCCAGGUUUAACCGCAGCGUACAACACCCAUUUACUUAUAUUUUGUUCUACUUGUAGUUACGGAUUUCGACGGUCGGUAUACUUGUAUACUUUAGAAAAUACUUAUAUUCGUAGAGUAUACUUUUAGUUCAGAGCACUUAGGCCCUUUAAUGUUUAUAGUCUUAUACCAUGUAAGCUUUGGUAUACCAGUUCACUAUAAACAAGGGCUCUGAUACCAAUCUGUCACACCCCGAAAACCAAAGGCGGAAACAUUUCCGGGGUUGACUCCACGUUGAGUAUCAAAUCCAAUGCACAUAGUAAAGCAGUAAUCACAAAACAUUACAUUACAUAAUAUUGUUUACAUCUGUUUGAAAGUAAAGUUGUACAAGUUUUUUACAUAUGUAAUAUGAACAAAAGUAAAGACGAGUCUUCGGAACGCUCCGUCUUCUUCAAAAGGUUGCAAUGUACCUGUCUAACGCUGACCUGAGAAUACAAGCGAUUUGAAAAUCAGCAUAAAGCUGGUGAGUUCAUAAGC